rnacentral:rRNA from 1 species
CCUACGGGAGGCAGCAGUGAGGAAUAUUGGUCAAUGGACGGGAGUCUGAACCAGCCAAGCAGCGUGAAGGAUGAAGGCACUGAGGGUCGUAAACCUCUUUUAUCCGGGGACAAACUGUGGCACGCGUGGCCUUAUGCGGGUACCAGAAGAAUAAGCAUCGGCUAACUCCGUGCCAGCAGCCGCGGUAAUACGGAGGAUGCGAGCGUUAUCCGGAUUUAUUGGGUUUAAAGGGUGCGCAGGCGGUCCCUUAAGGCAGUGGUGAAAGGCCGCGGCUCAACCCCGGCACGGCAGUUGAAACUGGCAGUCUUGAGUGGGGCAGAGGUAUGCGGAAUGCGUGGUGUAGCGGUGAAAUGCUUAGAUAUCGCGCAGAACUCCGAUUGCGAAGGCAG